UUUUUGGGACGAUUCUUCUUCAUCUCCCUCUUCUGUCUCGAUCCCUGCUACCCUCGCUGGCUCGACCCUUUCCUGAGUUCGAUCCCUGCUACCCCGCCGCUUCGAUCCCUGCUACCCCGCCGCUUCGAUCCCUGCUAACCCCGCCUCUUUGAUAGCAUCUAUUGCUACUUUCGCCGCUUCGGUCCCGUCGGUUGCUCCCCUAAUGGCUGAAAAAUGGGUUUGGUUCAUUCUCGCUCCUUCCUUCGUCGCCUCGGUUUUGUUUUCCUGUUUCUUCGAUCCCCUCUAUCAGCCUCUCUGCCGCUUCGAUCCCUUCGAAGCGUCCCCCCUACUGAUGAAAAUAUGGGUUUGGUUCACAGCCGUUUUCCUUUUUCCUGUUGCUUACGAAGAGUUACGAAGAGUUGUUUCGCCUCGAUUUUGUUUCCCUGUUGCUUACGAAGAGUUGUUUCAUACCAUUCCCAUUACCUAUUGGAGUCUAUAUAAUGAGGCAUCUAUCAUUCCCUCUCCCAUGCUGCCACGGUCAUCUGUUCCUGUAAGAGGACUCGGCAUCGCUGGCUACACCUGUGGUUUUCUUUAUUUUCUUGCUGCUUGGGAUCUUCGUUUUUUGAGAUGGUAUGCUCUCUUUAACAUAUCUCUUUUACAACGACAUAAGCAGCAACUAAUCUUUGUAAUUAAGUAUAAAAAAGAACCGAUUUACACCUAUCAACAUUCAGACAUGUGAUGAAUUUGAAAGAAGUUAAAAUAAGUUUUAGGGCAGGUUUCGGACCACAAUGAAAAAGUUGCUACUUAAUACUCUACGAUACAUUAUAUUUGGUCUAGCAUGCUAUGUAAGCGUUUAUACAGGCUAAGAUGUUAUUAUAUAUAUAUCAUCUUUAAUAAUUUUCACCAUUAGUUCCAAUCAGACAAUAAAUAAAUUUGAUUUCCAUUAGUUUUUUUGGCGUGCUUUAUGACCUGGCAUCUGAUGUUAUCUCAUAUAAACACUUCAAAGGAUAACAUAUUAGCUUUUUUUUUUUUUUAGGUUCAAAAUCAUUAGAGUUUGUGAGAUGUUAAAAAAAAUUAAAUAAAUUUACACCUAAGCAAAAAAGAAUUAUGAUUAAUUGUUCAGUAGAUUGACAAACACCCCACAAGCAUAUUAACUUGAUAAUAUUUCAGCAUCAAUAAGAAAGAAUCAGUCAAAUAGAUGGUCCUGCAUCUAACAGUCAAACUUAUUUGAAGUCAAUUGACAAACUGACAAUAAAUCAACAUUUUUAAAAAUUUAUUUUCAGAUUUAGGACAUUUAGCAAUGUUGUUUACCUCUUAUUUCGUGACUGAUCAAACAUCGAAGGCUGUGGAGUGUUUGCUUAUUCUGAACUAUGUCUAAUAAAUAGAUAGUUGUGUGCGCGCGCGCGUGUGCGUGUGUGUGUUAAACUAUUAAUUGUUAAAUAGUUAUAAAAUGGUUCUUGCAUUUUUUUAUUUUUUUUUUUGAUUAACUAACUUGGACACUCUUAAACUCUAAAUUUGAGUUGUGCUUUGUUAUACACUAGGAGAUAUCUAACUCUAUUGGAGAAUAGUUUUCAAUACUUUAUGUUCAACAUUCUUUCCUCAUAUUUCGACUUGCCACUCUUGAAUAGGUUCAAGUUGAAAAAUAAAUAGGACUAAAUGGCUCAUGGGAUCCAGUCUGAGAAUUCUCUGUUUACUACUAUGCAAAUUGUGAAUAAAAUUAUUGUUCUAAUAACUUUCUAUUUAGUUACAAACCAUAGAGGUCUCCCAGAUUAAGAAGGUCCGUCCGCAAUACAUUAAUUAAUUGACAUCCUUUGCACUUUCAUGUCGUAGAUAGUGUAGUUAGACAUUCUGUGUGCCAAUCUUUGUCAUAUAGGAACUAAAUCUAUGUCAAAUUUUUCAUUUUGAUUUGUUGCACAUCAAUUUGCUUAGUUUUCGUUUCUAUGUUCUUGGACAGAUCUAAACUCAAACGAAAACACAUAAAUUUUAACAAAAAAAAAGAGGAGAGAAUACAUAACAAAGGUUUCUGUUUUUUUUAUAUUGUUUAUAUUAUUGAAAGAACAAGUAAUUAAUUUGUAUAAUUCACUAUGUGCAUAUUUUUUAAUAUAUAGGAACUAAAAAAAUCUUUGAAAAAUUGAAAUUGUAUUGUUAUAUAUGUUUAUUAUUGAAAUAUAAAAAAAUUGUAUGAAGUGACAUACACAAAUAUGAUGUUUCUACUAAUGAUCAUUGAAACACAGAGGAUUGAGACACAGAUUGUUGACUUAAACCAAUAGAAGGAACUAUUGCUGAAUUUCUCCCUGCAAUAUUCUGCUGUUUUUUUGUUUGGUAAUUAUUGUACAUGUUUGUUUCCUAUUUAGCUCAAGGUUGACUGUUUAAAAGAAUAGAUUAAUGCACUUUGGAAAUGAUCAUGUAUUAGGCUUCCACAAUGACUAGGCUUCUGCAAUUAAUUCAAGUUGUUGUCUUAUCGAGGUAUUGUUUUGUGAAAA